rnacentral:siRNA from 1 species
AGUUAAAUCUGGAUAUCAUACGGC